GGUGCUCGAGUGGCGAACGGGUGAGUAACACGUGAGUAACCUGCCCUUGACUUUGGGAUAACUUCAGGAAACUGGGGCUAAUACCGGAUAGGAGCUCCUGCUGCAUGGUGGGGGUUGGAAAGUUUCGGCGGUUGGGGAUGGACUCGCGGCUUAUCAGCUUGUUGGUGGGGUAGUGGCUUACCAAGGCUUUGACGGGUAGCCGGCCUGAGAGGGCGACCGGCCACAUUGGGACUGAGAUACGGCCCAG
rnacentral:rRNA from 1 species